rnacentral:rRNA from 1 species
GAUGCAACGCGAAGAACCUUACCAAGGCUUGACAUGUUCUCGAUCGCCGUAGAGAUACGGUUUCCCCUUUGGGGCGGGUUCACAGGUGGUGCAUGGUUGUCGUCAGCUCGUGUCGUGAGAUGUUGGGUUAAGUCCCGCAACGAGCGCAACCCUCGUUCCAUGUUGCCAGCACGUAAUGGUGGGGACUCAUGGGAGACUGCCGGGGUCAACUCGGAGGAAGGUGAGGACGACGUCAAAUCAUCAUGCCCCUUAUGUCUUGGGCUUCACGCAUGCUACAAUGGCCGGUACAAUGGGUUGCGAUACUGUGAGGUGGAGCUAAUCCCAAAAAGCCGGUCUCAGUUCGGAUUGGGGUCUGCAACUCGACCCCAUGAAGUCGGAGUCGCUAGUAAUCGCAGAUCAGCAACGCUGCGGUGAAUACGUUCCCGGGCCUUGUACACACCGCCCGUCAAGUCACGAAAGUUGGUAACACCCGAAGCCGGUGGCCUAACCCUUGUGGGGGGAGCCGUCGAAGGUGGGACCAGCGAUUGGGAC